rnacentral:rRNA from 1 species
AUUGAACGCUGGCGGCAGGCUUAACACAUGCAAGUAGAAUGAGGGGCGGACGGGUGAGUAAUGAUUGGGAAUCUAGCUUAGGGAGGGGGAUAACUACGGGGAACUGUAGCUAAUACCGCGUACCAUAGGAUGAGCCCAAGUGGGAUUAGGUAGUUGGUGAGGUAAAGGCUGACCAAGCCGACGAUCUCUAGCUGGUCUGAGCGGAUGCCCAGCCACACGGUGACUGUGACACGGCCCAGACUCCUACGGGAGGCAGCAGUGGGGAAUAUUGCGCAAUGGGGGCAACCUGACGCAGCCACGCCGCGUGAAUGAAGAAGGCCUUCGGGUUGUAAAGUUCUUUCGGUAGCGAGGCGUUAACUACAGAAGAAGCACCGGCUAACUCCGUGCCAGCAGCCGCGGUAAUAC